GUCAUUAAAACUAGUUUACAUACACUUAGGUUGGAGUCAUUAAAACUAGUUCACAUACACUUGGGUUGGAGUCAUUAAAACUAGUUUACAUACACUUGGGUUGGAGUCAUUAACUAGUUUACAUACACUUAGGUUGGAGUCAUUAAAACUAGUUUACAUACACUUAGGUUGGAGUCAUUAACUAGUUUACAUACACUUAGGUUGGAGUCAUUAAAACUAGUUUACAUCCACUUAGGUUGGAGUCAUUAAAACUAGUUUACAUACACUUAGGUUGGAGUCAUUAACUAGUUUACAUACACUUAGGUUGGAGUCAUUAAAACUAGUUUACAUACACUUAGGUUGGAGUCAUUAACUAGUUUACAUACACUUAGGUUGGAGUCAUUAAAACUAGUUUACAUACACUUAGGUUGGAGUCAUUAACUAGUUUACAUACACUUAGGUUGGAGUCAUUAACUAGUUUACAUACACUUAGGUUGGAGUCAUUAACUAGUUUACAUACACUUAGGUUGGAG